UUUUCUCUGUCUCUCUUUAUAUAUGUACAAAAUAUAUAUCAAAUUCAAUUCACUUGAUAACUUUUGAAUCUGAUCUUAGUUCCUUACUCAAGAAAAAUGGCCAAAAAUACAAUACACAUUUUAGGACUCUUAUUAUUAGCUAUGGUUGUUCUCAAUCCUUCAAAAGUAGCUGCUUGUAGAAAUUAUCCUGAAAUUUCUUCUAACUCUUAAAGCAGAAAAAUGGGAAACAAA